UCAAGUGACCUAAGAGCAUCUGGUGGAUGCCUUGGCGCACACAGGCGAUGAAGGACGUGGUACGCUGCGAUAAGCCAUGGGGAGCUGCGAACAAGCUUUGAUCCGUGGAUUUCCGAAUGGGGCAACCCACCGCUUCGGCGGUAUCGUCAUCUGAAUUCAUAGGAUGACGAGGCGAACCCGGGGAACUGAAACAUCUCAGUACCCGGAGGAAAGGACAUCAACCGAGACUCCGCUAGUAGUGGCGAGCGAACGCGGACCAGGCCAGCGCUUCAGCAAGGACAACUGGAACCAUCAGGAAAGUUGGGCCCCAGAGGGUGAUAGCCCCGUACAGGUAAUGCCGAGCUGAAGACUUGAGUAGGGCGGGACACGUGAAAUCCUGCUUGAACAUGGGGAGACCACUCUCCAAGCCUAAGUACUCGUGUGCGACCGAUAGCGAACCAGUACCGUGAGGGAAAGGUGAAAAGCACCCCGACGAGGGGAGUGAAAGAGACCUGAAACCGGAUGCUUACAAUCAGUCGGAGCCCGCAAGGGUGACGGCGUACCUUUUGUAUAAUGGGUCAGCGAGUUAGUCUGCCGAGCAAGCUUAAGCCGAUAGGUGUAGGCGCAGCGAAAGCGAGUCUGAAUAGGGCGUUCAGUUCGGCGGAUUAGACCCGAAACCAGGUGAUCUAGGUAUGAGCAGGCUGAAGGUGCGGUAACACGCACUGGAGGGCCGAACCCACCUAUGUUGAAAAAUGGGGGGAUGACUUGUGCCUAGGGGUGAAAGGCCAAUCAAACCUGGAAAUAGCUGGUUCUCCGCGAAAUCUAUUUAGGUAGAGCGUCGGACGAAUACUCUCGGGGGUAGAGCACUGGAUGGGCUAGGGGGCCUCACCGGCUUACCAAACCUAACCAAACUCCGAAUACCGAGAAGUACUAUCCGGCAGACACACUGCGGGUGCUAAGGUCCGUAGUGGAAAGGGAAACAGCCCUGACCGCCAGCUAAGGUCCCAAAAUAAUGGCUAAGUGUGAAAGGAUGUGAGAAUCCCAAAACAACCAGGAGGUUGGCUUAGAAGCAGCCAUCCUUUAAAGAAAGCGUAACAGCUCACUGGUCUAAUCAAGGGUUCUUGCGCCGACAAUGUAUCGGGGCUUAAGCCAUUUACCGAAGCUGCGGGUGUGCUAUGCACGCGGUAGCGGAGCGUUCCGUAAGCCUGCGAAGGGAACUCGCGAGAGUUCCUGGAGGUAUCGGAAGAGCGAAUGCUGACAUGAGUAACGAUAAGGAGUGUGAGAGACACUCCCGCCGAAAGUCCAAGGGUUCCUGCGCAAUGCUAAUCAGCGCAGGGUUAGCCGGCCCCUAAGGCGAGGGCGAAAGCCGUAGUCGAUGGGAACCACGUUAAUAUUCGUGGGCCAGUGGGUGUGUGACGAAUUCCGUAAAUUGUCUGGUCUUAUCGGAUUGACCGGGCAAUGAAGGAGUUCCAGGAAAUAGCCCCCACAUCAGACCGUACCCUAAACCGACACAGGUGGACUGGUAGAGCAUACCAAGGCGCUUGAGAGAACUGCGUUGAAGGAACUCGGCAAAAUACCCCCGUAACUUCGGGAGAAGGGGGCCCCAUAUCUGGGCAACCAGGUGUGGGGGGCACAAGCCAGGGGGUGGCGACUGUUUAUUAAAAACAUAGGGCUCUGCGAAGUCGCAAGACGACGUAUAGGGUCUGACGCCUGCCCGGUGCCGGAAGGUUAAGAGGAGGGGUGCAAGCUCUGAAUCGAAGCCCCGGUAAACGGCGGCCGUAACUAUACGGUCCUAAGGGAGCGAAAUUCCUUGUCGGGUAAGUUCCGACCCGCACGAAAGGGGU
rnacentral:rRNA from 1 species